rnacentral:rRNA from 1 species
AUGCUUGUCCCGAAGCUUAAGCCAUGCAUGUCUUAGAAGUAUAAUAGGAGGCGAUCCAUAAAUCUGCGAACGGCUCCGUAUAUCUGUUAUCACCCACGGCCACUAAAAAGAUCUCGGAUACCCACGGUAAUUCUGAGGCUAAUACGUAUACGUAGCUUGGGCCUCCAGGACAGGGCGCCCUCCGCAAGGGGGGCGCCUGGGCUAGUCGCUUGUUGCCGGGGGGUCCCGCAAGGGGUCCGCUGUCAUGAUGGCAGGCUAGUGCACCACACUGCGGGGGCGAUAUGUCCCGUAGGGUGCGCCAAGGGAGCCAGCCCUAUUAACUAGGUGUCCGGGUAAGGCCCGGCCGCGGUGAUAACGGGUACAGAGGAUCAGGGUUCGGUCCUGGAGAGGAAGCCUGAGAGAUCGCUUCUACUUCUAAGGAAGGCAGCAGGCGCGCAACGUUCCCAAUGGGGAUACCCUGAGGACGUGAGGGGAUAUAGCAAUGCCCCGCCCAUAAAGCGGGGCAAUUGCAAUGGG